rnacentral:lncRNA from 1 species
AGAAACCUUCCCUUGAAGCAGGUAUUCCUUGCAGGAUUUAUAUUGCAGCUAUGCACAUACUUGCUAACAUCUCUUCGGUGUGCAAGUAUGUGUAUUUUGGGGUGCUGAAUAACCUUAUGGGAAUACAAAAUAGUUGGUGUACUGGGUAUUAUCUGGCAUAUUAGCAGAUGAAGACUCUAAACCUUAUGCUGACAUUAGAUAAGUGCGAGUUAAACUCAUCUAUUUCUAGGCUUUGCUCUUGUUGCUGUCUAAUGGAAGUUAAUCAUCAGGGUGCACAAAAAGAAAUCCCAAGUCAAGCUACAUAUGUGUGUUAGUAUGCUCAUUAGGGAAGAGGAACUAUCCGAGCUAUUUGCAGAAUCCUGUACGUUGUAGUUAGUAUUAAACUGAAAUAGCCUGUGAAUUAAAGUAUGUUGCACUGACUUUCUUCUGGAGUCUGAUACGCUGCUUUUCUGAAGAGACAUUUACUGAACAGUGGGCAAAGUCUAGAAUAUAUAACUGAAAAUUAGAAAAUGUACAGAUUUGGGUUAAUUGUAAGUGACCAAAUGAUGAUAGUCUGACCAGAAAUAAAAGAAAAUGAGCCAUAGCCUAAAAACAGUCAGAUAUCUAUAGGAUAUAGGUAACGUGUAUACGUGCAAACUUUUGGCUUAUAUCCAUUCCAUAAGUGGUCUGAAUAAUAUCUGCAAGAUCAGGUAAGGUGUAAGUUGUUCUGCAAUAGCAUAUUGUCCAUAACUGAGGUUUUUUAGCUGCGUUCCAAAUUCUGUUGGGAGAAAUUGCAGUGUGUGAUCGUGUGCAAUUAAUUCUGCUUUAGAUGAACAAUCAAUUGCUCUGCCUUGUCUGUGUGUUCUGUGAAGUCAAAUAGAAAAUCAAUGUACUGCCUGCCCUAAAUCAUGUCACCCAGCUGCAGGGAUAACUGCAUACCAAAGCUAAUCCCAUUUCCUCCGAGCAGCAACUUCUGUCAAGUGACAAGAAUACUGUAAAGAAGCCAUGAGGGAGCAGGAGCCUUCUCUGCUUUGCCUGGUCACCACGGGCAUUUUACUGCAAGCACACAGGGGGAAAAAAAAAAGCCAGUUUAUCAGAAAAACACAUCUACCCAGUAGCAACAUUUCAACUCCUGUUUGUUCCCAGCCUUGACAGAAGCAUUGCCACGAUGUGCUGAGUUGGAAGAGCUCCUGGCUAUUGGCAUCUCAAUAAGUUGAUCAGCCUGUUUUCUCCAGGAAAGAAACUUAUUCUCUGCUGCCUCCAGAGGCAUUCCUCCCCCCCCUCCCCAAAUGACAACAGGUUUGAUCCUGACUAAGCCUGCAGGCAUAGAUGCAUGUUUUAAAAGAAACAAGAUCUCCUGCCACCACUGAACGGAUAUUAUAGCUCAUAUACUGCAUGAGAGCCAAUAUGUAAUGGACUGAUUUUUGUAUGUGGCACAAGAAGAAAUAUUUCCAGUAAAGACAGG